GCGUGCUCUGUUCUGAGACAACUCUGUCCUCAGCUCUGCUGGAUCCUCUUGGGUCUGGGCAAAGAGAGCAGGCGCCAAGUAAACACCCGAAAUGGCGUUUCUGGAAAGCCUCUGUAACACACUGGCGCCCCGGCCCCCGUGUCUAAGAGUCCCCGAUGGACCGUAUCACGAAGUGGCAUGAACUCCGCUCUCAGGCAAACUUGGCCAGUAAUGUGAUCCCAGUUGACCCCACAGGCUGGCAAGGCCUGGGAAAUGUCAGCUUACACUUGUUCCCACCAUUUCCGAGGGGGUUCCCUUUGCACCCGGUGCGCUCUGCACAGCGCCCACUGGGAAUGGCGGGUCUGUGGCGGCUUCCCGGCUGUAGAGCCACAGGUGAAGGGGCACUUCGGCGUUGGAAGGGGCUGCAGAGGCUGGCUCUCUCGUGACCCCUGCAAAGGGCUCCCCCUGAGCAAGGCUGUCCCUCUGUCACCUUCUUAAACCCCCUCUGGACGGUUCUGUCCCACCUGAUAGGCUCGCUCAGCAUCGUAGAUGGAGGGAGCUUCGUCAUCGCCAGAAAGCAAGGGUGAAAGAGGAGAAGGCCCUGGCCAAGGCCCAGAACUCAAAUUCGCAGCAGCCCAGAACCUUCCCCACACGUCACAACUCCAGACACGUCGCAGAGAAUAGGGAGCUGGAAACAGAGGCCGGUGAUGGUACGAAUCUUCGCACAUGGCAGAGGAAGCAUCUCCAGAUCAGGCUUCAACUUCCCUUCUCGUGCUCCCAAAACUGGACUAGGCCUCCCUGGGGGCUCCCCCGGCACCCCACAUACUGCUCUGUUCUCCUCCUCCUGGGGCACGAGGGAUUUUGUCUCCCUCGAUGACUGAAGUUUGCUGACGGCUGGGGCCA